rnacentral:rRNA from 3 species
UGAUUAUNUGAAANGGUGCUUGCAUCUUGAUUUAAUUUUNGAACGAGUGGCGGACGGGUGAGUAACACGUGGGUAACCUGCCCUUAAGUGGGGGAUAACAUUUGGAAACAGAUGCUAAUACCGCAUAAAUCCAAGAACCGCAUGGUUCUUGGCUGAAAGAUGGCGUAAGCUAUCGCUUUUGGAUGGACCCGCGGCGUAUUAGCUAGUUGGUGAGGUAACGGCUCACCAAGGCAAUGAUACGUAGCCGAACUGAGAGGUUGAUCGGCCACAUUGGGACUGAGACACGGCCCAAACUCCUACGGGAGGCAGCAGUAGGGAAUCUUCCACAAUGGACGCAAGUCUGAUGGAGCAACGCCGCGUGAGUGAAGAAGGCUUUCGGGUCGUAAAACUCUGUUGUUGGAGAAGAAUGGUCGGCAGAGUAACUGUUGUCGGCGUGACGGUAUCCAACCAGAAAGCCACGGCUAACUACGUGCCAGCAGCCGCGGUAAUACUAGGUGGCAAGCGUUAUCCGGAUUUAUUGGGCGUAAAGCGAGCGCAGGCGGUUUUUUAAGUCUGAUGUGAAAGCCCUCGGCUUAACCGAGGAAGUGCAUCGGAAACUGGAAACUUGAGUGCAGAAGAGGACAGUGGAACUCCAUGUGUAGCGGUGAAAUGCGUAGAUAUAUGGAAGAACACCAGUGGCGAAGGCGGCUGUCUGGUCUGUAACUGACGCUGAGCUCGAAAGCAUGGGUAGCGAACAGGAUUAGAUACCCUGGUAGUCCAUGCCGUAAACGAUGAAUGCUAGGUGUUGGAGGGUUUCCGCCCUUCAGUGCCGCAGCUAACGCAUUAAGCAUUCCGCCUGGGGAGUACGACCGCAAGGUUGAAACUCAAAGGAAUUGACGGGGGCCCGCACAAGCGGGGAGCAUGUGGUUUAAUUCGAAGCAACGCGAAGAACCUUACCAGGUCUUGACAUCUUUUGAUCACCUGAGAGAUCAGGUUUCCCCUUCGGGGGCAAAAUGACAGGUGGUGCAUGGUUGUCGUCAGCUCGUGUCGUGAGAUGUUGGGUUAAGUCCCGCAACGAGCGCAACCCUUAUGACUAGUUGCCAGCAUUUAGUUGGGCACUCUAGUAAGACUGCCGGUGACAAACCGGAGGAAGGUGGGGAUGACGUCAAAUCAUCAUGCCCCUUAUGACCUGGGCUACACACGUGCUACAAUGGAUGGUACAACGAGUUGCGAGACCGCGAGGUCAAGCUAAUCUCUUAAAGCCAUUCUCAGUUCGGACUGUAGGCUGCAACUCGCCUACACGAAGUCGGAAUCGCUAGUAAUCGCGGAUCAGCACGCCGCGGUGAAUACGUUCCCGGGCCUUGUACACACCGCCCGUCACACCAUGAGAGUUUGUAACACCCGAAGCCGGUGGCGUAACCCUUUUAGGG